UGCUCAGGUAGUGCAAAUGCUUGUGUGACAGAGCUGUUUUCCCAAACUAGCUUGCACCCAAUAAAGUAGAAGGCAUGGUAUGUUCAGGAUUGAAGUAGUAUGACAUUGCUGAUUCUGAUGAUUUCCUUAUCAAGAGUUCUGUUUGAUCGACCACUACUGUGGGUGGCGACUGCCUCAGAUGACAAAGGACUGAACUGGCCUGAUACACCUUGGUGCUGUCCUAAAUACCCUGGCAGUGCCAGGGUACAACUGGAUUUAUUUCUGGCCAUGUGACUCCAUGGAAGCAAGCAGGGCCAGCAGGCUCUGGUGGUGUUCACAAUGCUGCCUUGGGGCUCAGUGUUGUGUGACGUCCCCUGUUCACUGUGUAGGCUGCUUGAAUAUUGAUGGUGUGAGAGAGGUUGCCGGUAGAGAGAGAAAAUCGUCCCUACACAGCACACAUUUGUCAGGAAUUGAUAGAUCAGUCACUAAAAUAAAGUCAGUAUGGAAUAUUGUUGGCACUGGGACAGGAAAAAAAGCCUUGUGAGUCUAUUUCUGUUCAAGGGAAAGGCAGCACUGUUAAAAGGCAGUUCAUGUAUAGUUGAUAUUUUUAAUAACUUCUUUUGUAAAUUAAGUAAAAAAACUGGUGCCAGAAAUUGAGAAAACAGUUCACUGAAAAAGCAGUAUGGAGGAAAUUUAUGGAAAUGAAGGUUUCUCACACAUCGUUGUUUGAAAUAAGGAAUAUCAACAUGAUUCUCAAAUGUAAUAGUUUUUAUGGAGUUAUCUCCAAUAAGACACAAAAACAUGGGGAGGCUAUAACAUGUAAUAUUUCAGACACUUGUUUAAUGCAUCAUUUAUUCAGGGUAUUUUCCCAGGUGGAUUAAAAUAUGCCAUUGUUAGAUGCCACCAUAAAGGUGAUUUCAGUCAUAAAUAAUGGAAGGUUGUCCCCUACCUGUGCAGGAAAAUGAUACUUAGUCAAUUAUAGUUUGGAUAUCAAACGAGCUGCUCUACUGAGACAGCUACUUAUACUCUUACUGAGCACAGUGUGAGAAAUGACGUUUUAAUAUCAUAUAUGGCUCAGCACAUGCUAGUUUAGUUCCUAUUUUAGGAACAGUACGCUGGAAGUUACACUAACAUUGCUAAGAUGUUCGCCAAAUACAAACACGCACCCCACAUCAUCAGCAUGGGAAGAAAUCAUAGUGGCCAUUCCACAGUCUCCAUUCAUGAAUGCAUUACUAUUCUUGGCUCUAUGUUAACUGUGGGAAUUGCACAAAAAUAAAAAUAUCACUGGCUCUCAACGGAGACACAUGCAAGUAGUAGGUGAUGUAUCUUCACUGUAUCACAAUAUUGUGUGUGCUUAUUUAGAUACGGGUUGUGUUAUUAUACAUAGUACAUCCCUUGUAUAGUGUGGCCUAUGAUGAUCAUGUUUAUGUUCAAUUCGAGACGUAUACAGUUACCACACAGCUGCGAUGCUGCUGUCAUGUCCCCAUUAUGCUGCACCUUCCACAGCAGUGAUACCUGGGGUUAUAGAUAACACCCUCAAGCAUCUCAAGGUAUCACGACAAUACUCUGACAGUGAAAAAUGGUGCUGAGAAGUGGAGUGCAUUGGCCAACCUGCUCUGCAAUUACACAGUGGACUUUGCUCUACUCACAAACCAGGUUACUUCCAUGCCACAUCAAUCUGACUGGUCAGAUUCACAUUUCCUCUCUUUGGCUGAAAGGUCAUCUGCGAUGCACAUGAAUUCAAUCACUCCAGGCCUCAUGCAGCUGGCUGCAUUGUCUACCAGCUUGCUUACUAUGGAUCGCGACAUGCCACAUAUGGAGCUUAAUUGCACCGUCAUUCUUCCUCUACAGAUGUCACAGUGGCAACCUACUGGACUCGAGACUCAUCUUAAGCUGACACCAUUUUGGCUGGAUCAAUUAAGUCUGUGGUUCACCAUUGUGAAAAGCAUUUUUGCUUUGAGCAACAUCAUCAGUGACUGCACAAGAUUGAACAUGUGGGUACAAUUAGCAAUAUCAUCUUAGCCUCACCCUUGGACAAAUACUGUAAAAACAGCACUCACCUGUCACCUCACCCACUCCCUGGAAGAAUAGUUAUGCUGCAACAUCUACAAUGAACAGUUAAAGGACAAGACUCAAUCACAGCUAUUAUGUCGGUUAUGCACUCACAUUGAUUUGCAUCUUGUUUCCAAUCACAUACUAUGGACUUGAUGGGUCAUCAGGCUGCUCGCCGCAAGUUCAACUGGUCACAGUCACCUAUGAGCAAGAGUAAUUAGAUGCACACUGCAUUCUUACAGAUAGAAUAUUUUCCAUCCUUCAACAUCAAUAAUGUAAUAAGAACACAGACAACAAUGACACUGCAUGUUACUUGCAACCACAGUGGGAGCACAACCGACCUCCCACAUACCAUAAGCUGAGCUGAUAUCACCUGGCCUUUGCUGAUCCUGAUGUCACCACUGAUAGCCAGAAUGACAACAAAUCUCCUUCCACCUUCUGUGCCACACCCACACUUGUGCUGAUCCACUUCUGCUGGUACCACACAUGAUUCAGUGACUCUUCCUGGUACUGUCGCCUGCCAUGUGACUUCCCAAAUUCUAUGGAUGAUUCACAGGAGGUGCACUGAACCAUGCAGGAUAUCUGAGCCAUCUAGACACUCAGAACUCUGAUGAUGACUCUCUCCUGCCUCAUUUUCAUCAUGACAACAGACUCUUCAUUCUCAAUCCCAUCAGCGGCCAACACUUCCUUGUUGACUCCAGCUCAGAAACCAUCCCUGAUGCCCAACAGCUCAGUUGUCCAGCUUCACACAGCAAAUGACUCAAUAAUCUGAGUCUAUGGAUUGCAGACCUGUAUGGUGGACUUGGGUUUUGAUGACAUUUCCAAAUUGACAUUUGUUGUUGCUGUUGUUAGUGAGCCAGUACUUGAUGUACACGUCCUUCAAAACUUCUGUUUGUUUCCUGAUCUAUUUGGCAGUGUUUUGACUCACACUGUUAGUGGCCACACUGUCACAGGUGUCAGCGGCCAUGCCCCCUUGGCGGCAGAGCUGGGACUGCCCACUUAACGUAACAGCUUCUGCCACUUACCAUAACACCCAAUGCCACUGACCAGUACCUUCAGAACUGCCUUCAUGCCAUCGAUCACAUUAAAAAACGAGAGCAACAGUAUUUCAGCACGCACAUGAUGGACAUCCAGUUGCAACAUGAAAGUAAUGCCAUCCACUGCAGAAUUCACAAAGUUGUGGAGGAACUCCACAUGGCUUGGUGCUGUCUUGACCAGCUUUAUUGGCUGCCUCCAUCCAGUUCUGAUGUACCCUCUGUCUCUCCACAUUGACCUGACCCUCAAGUUCGUUUGCCAUCUGUGGAUACAUCUGGUACAUCUAGAGCAUCGUCACCAUGUAGCAUUACUUUUCCUCAACAGUAGUUGUUGAUACUAGUGUUACUUUUCGAAUUUUGGACAGGCUAAUAUUAUCUCAGUUGCUUUUCUGAAAAAUCUCAUAUAAUUUUGUACACAGUAUGUUAUAUUUCAAGCUAGAAUUUAUGAAAAGGAAUUACUUUAUAAAAUAUUUUAGUUUCAAUGUUAUAAUCGAUAAGUACUAGUUCUGAAUGUACAGCUAAAAUUAUUUUUUUCUAGAAGCAUUUGAAAUUAUGAAUUAUUUGCAUACGUACUUAAAAUUUCUAUUAUUAAUUACACAACCCUUUUUUUUGCAUUUACUAUGUUUAUUUCUGGAUUCAUAUAUGAAAUAAUAAUUGAAAUUAAUUGUGUUAUGAAAACUAGUAGGAAUUUCUUUUUUUAAGAAAAAUUGUAAACCCUUUGUAAUAUUGUUAUUUUUGCAGAGUGAGAGAGUCAUGAGCUUGCCUCUGAUGUGAUCAGAUGUGUUUUUGUAUAAUAGUGUGAAUAAUGUAAUUUCAGCUUUGUUUGUGUGAAAAACCAAAAUACUGUAAGAUAUACUAAAAUGUGAGAAAAUCUGUGGAAAAUAUAUUUAUUUAAAAAAUGC